rnacentral:snoRNA from 1 species
CCCCUCCAGAACCCUUUCCCAUCAGAUCUGAACACCGAUCUCAUGGUCAAAAAAGGAGGGAGAAUAAAUUACAAACUGGUCUCACCCUCUUUGCUGGAACAGUCCUGCACUGAGAGAGACUAGAUUGAAAACAUU